AAGAGCUGCUGAUGACGGUUUGUCUGUCGAGCUGUGGCCGGGUACCCACAGAUGAGAGCAGUGGGCGGAUGCAUAGCAUUGCACUGAGAGCAGCUGCCUUCUACCGUGCCCUUGUGACAUGGCUUCUAUCUCUGGUACCUCCUGUGAAAAUGAAAGGUGGACCCAAAGCUCCAUUUCAGGCAGUAUGUCUACAGCAGACCUGGAAAGAGGACGGAUUGGCCUUGUCUGCUUGUCUAAUGCCAACAGAUGAAUCUCCAACCCAGGACUCGAUGCUGAUUAAAGAAAGGUUAAAGAAGAUUAAAACUAAAGAAGAUCUCCAAGAAACAUCCAUUUUUUACCAGAGGAUUUCUGAACUUCUAUCCUCUAUGUGGCUUCCAGAUGUUAUCUGGUGGAGAGCAGAACUGUGCAGUUGCUUCCAAAGCCACCUGUAUCCACUUCUUCCUGAAAUUCCCUCUGCCCUGCUCAGUUACAUCGCUACUGUUAAUCCUGAUCCUCAGGCAGUGGAGAAGGUGUUUGCAGCGCCAAGUGGAUUUUACUGGCAGACUGCUGAAAGUGAUGAAAAAUGCUUCCCUAAUGGCAGUGACACCGAGGUUGCCAUGGUAUUGCUGUUUGAAGCUCUCUCCCGAAGAUCCCUAGCUACCCA
ensembl:lncRNA